GGCGGGAUGCUAGAGCGGUCGAAUAGGCUCGUUUCGAAAACGAGUGUUCUGGAAACGGAACCGCAGGUUCGAAUCCUGCUCCCGCCGCCA
rnacentral:tRNA from 1 species